rnacentral:rRNA from 1 species
UACAGAGGUCUCAAGCGUUGUUCGGAUUCAUUGGGCGUAAAGGGUGCGUAGGCGGCGCGGUAAGUCGGGUGUGAAAUUUCGGAGCUUAACUCCGAAACUGCAUUUGAUACUGCCUUGCUUGAGGACUGGAGAGGAGACUGGAAUUCACGGUGUAGCAGUGAAAUGCGUAGAGAUCGUGAGGAAGACCAGUGGCGAAGGCGGGUCUCUGGACAGUUCCUGACACUGAGGCACGAAGGCCAGGGGAGCAAACGGG